AGACGUUGACAAUUCAGUAGGGAC
rnacentral:siRNA from 1 species